UGGAAACAAAGAGCAGAUUUUCUCUUGAUUUACAGAAUUGCAAUUAAGUCAUCUCUGAUGACUGAACCUAAUAGCAGUAUCAUCAUUUUGCAGUUAUUGAUUCUUACUGAUUGCGUAGAAAGUAUAUUUUUAAAGAUAACUUUUUUCUCGCUUAAUAGGUGCAUGAAUUGGCUGGAAAAAUAAAUCAAGAUAAGGCCCUUUUUGUCCCAUGCCAUCACAGCUGGAGACAAGCAUUUUGCUGAUGAAAGCUGAUUGGUAUCACAUUAUCCCCUUGAUUACACCUGUGCAAUGCCAUUAAUUGAGAAAUAGCACGACCUGGGGAAACCGAAUGGCUGGUAAUGUACGGGAAAGCUGAUCUACAAGGCUGGAUGUACGUGUUGGCAGUGCAAUGAGGCUCGCUCUGCGGCGAUUCAGGCUGCCUUAGAUUUUGAGUUUUCAAACAAAUCAAGCUUGUUUGUGUUGCUCAUGAGUUUAUGGUCAGUUCUUGGUUGGUUGAUUGGUAUUGUUGUAUUUUUUUUGUUGGGGGGAGGAUUUGGUUUUCUUUAAUGAGAACAAAAUCACUCGGAGGCAUGACGAGGCGUGCUUUGCGAAUGGUUACGCUCAGCUGUAAUCUGCCUGGCGCAGUGCUCGGCGACUUGCGGGCAGAAAAAUGCACUCAUCUGAACUGGAUUUAGGAGCGAGGAACACUUCGAUUUGGGGCAGCCGAAGGAAAAUUGUAUAACACUGUUGUGCUGUCCUGAGCAGGAGGAGAAGCCAGUGAAUUGCAUGCUUUUUCCAUCUUUGUAAUCAGUUUGUUAUGCGCAGAGCAAUGCCGUGGGAUUAAGCAUUUUGUCUGCUGGGUUUCCCCUGGCAGCAUGUGAAGAAGUUCAUUAUAAGUGCUUAUCACAUGAUCCACUUAAUCAAACCGCUGGAACUCGGAGAAUAAGUCACUCUAACACGAGCCGCCAGAGCCGCCUCAUGAACCACUUACUGAUACGCUCCUCCCGGGUCAGGGCACAAAGAGUUUCCUUGUACCUCGGGGCGCGAUGCAGGAAGUUCAUUAUCCGCAGUCCGAAUUCAGACGGGAAGAAAGGAAGCAGGGCUUACAAAGAGGCGACAGAUGAUAGGCGCAGGGUUCUGGUUAGCCUCUCAAACCCCUCGCCUAGCGGGACUGCGAGCUCCUCCGAAGAGCAGCCUUCUGGUUCUCUGUGUUACGCACGGGGCGGCUAUCUGCACGGCUGGCUUCAGCGUUGUGAAAUGCAGAUGACACAGGAGAAAAUACUUUCCUUCUCCUGAUUAGAUGCUUAAAUGGAAGCACGUGGGGAAAAAGCAGGAAAUCAGAAGCAAAACCAUGCUUUUAGCAGGGCACGGUGUCAUACCAGAUUGGAGGUUGCUUUGUGUGGGGACGCACAGGCUGAGCCUGAGGUGGGUCUCCAGAUGAAUUUUUCGUACUGGAAAUUGCCACUGGAAGAAGAAGCAUCAAGUAGGACGAGGCGACAUGCUCUGUAAGGCAUAAAAAUCAGGGAGGUGUGCAGGACAGAGUAGCACGGGCAACAGAAACAAAAAAGCAAGCUGGUUUGAUGGGCUUUAUGCUUUAUUUCCUAGGGUAGCUCCAAGUGAAGCAGGUCAAAGGGUUCAUGCCAUUGUCCAGGUACUGCUUUGAGAAAACAGUGAAGCCUGUCUCUCCAGUGCUGAAGUCCAGCCAGCCCAAAGCUUUAAAACAUCCUGCUGAUUACUGCUGGGCUCAGCCUGGAGUGAGCACAGGGUCUGGACCACGUCCUCCAACAGACGUGAGGUUUGGGAUGCACGGAUUUCAUUCCUACUGGCAGAGUUAGGCGGUGAUGCCGUGUCGCUGCUCUCCUUUAACCCUGGCUGUCUCAGCUCAGUAAAACCACGGGGCUCUUGGCCACAGCGGCAUUGAUGCACCAAGCUGGCACUGCUGGGGCUGCGUACCAGCAGGGAUGGUGCUGCUUCAGUGGGUUGGUUUCCAACUGAUAAGUUAAAGGAGGACACGCGAGCCUGAAGGAAAAUGCCAUUUUGCUGUCUUUUUCUUCAUUUUAAAAACAGACAGGGAUCAGCGAAACAGAAGAAUAGAGAUGGUCGCCGGAGCAUUUAAUGCGACCUCGUGCAUCGCAUGGUGUGGGAAUUACUUAAUGAAAUUCCCUGGCCCAAACCAAGCAAAUCUAGAGCACGUAUUUUAGGAUGACAGCCAAAACGAUGAAAGGAAUUUACUACCCAGCCUUGCUAAUCAUCUUGAGCGCUCAACUGGUCUCCCUAACACGCGGCUCUGUGAGCAGUGAUAGUAACGUGGCCUCAUUUCCUACAGGUUCCUCCUCCAGACUUCCCACCCACGCUGAGCACCCCAAAAAACUCCUCCCAGUCCCCUCCCAGCUCUACUAGGGCUGGAGGGCGAUGGGGCACGGAGCUCUCAUUCCUUCCUGCCAGCCUCUGGGAAGAGACGGAGGCCCCAGAUCGCAGCUGCCUCUCCUGCCAUGCAUUUCCCUGGCCUCGUUGGCUGUGCCUUCAGCGUCUUGUGCCGUGGUCUUGUUGCCAGAUGACACCCCUCAUUCCCAACCUCAAGCUCCCUUCUGUGCUCCCCCAAGUAUGAACAUUGCUAAAAAGUGCAUGUUGUGAAUGCUGGGAUUAUUUUUGAGCGUUAAAAUGCUUUAGGUAUCUUGAAGUACCUGAAACAGCUGCACAGGGCUGGCAGACGUGCCACAGCACUCCAAGAAAGUUGUGUUUUCUAGCACAGAGCCUGGAAGCUGAGCUCGAAGUUGUACGACCCUCCAAGUGACCCUAAAUGCCGUGUUUAGGUAACCAAGCCUCUUUCCCUUCCCCCCCUUUUUCUUCACUUCGUUGACCUUUUAAGAAGGAUUUCUGUCAUGAUUUUAGACUCGUGACCGUAUACUAGAAAAUCAUUCUCCUAAUUAGGAGCUUAGUUUUUCAUUUUAUCAUAUGGAAAAUACUGCUCCUACCCCCAAAGAAGACGGCAAGAAGUGCCACUGCGUAAUAGCAUCGUGCCUUGCCUGGGGACUGCCAGCACGGCAGGUGUUGGCCUCUUUCAGUUGCUGAGCUUCCCUCUAGGAACUGGGCAGAAACACAGCAAAUACCACAUUCAAAGUUAUAAGAUUCGACAACGCUGGAUACACCCUUCUCUUAGUGCUCUCAGGCAGCUGUGGCUCUGUAUGCAAAUGCCUGAUAAAGGAAAAUCUGUCCCGAGAAUAGCUGCAAGGUGGUUCUUUGUUUCUCGUCAGCAGCACGAAGCACGUCCUCUAUCAACACACCACACAGGCACGGCUUUCAUGGAAAGCUAAUUAAAUAACUCGGGCAAUGUAACAGGAGCAUCAACUUCUGGUUAAUUUACUUUUCAGACUGCUAAACACGCUUGCUUUUUUGUGAAGCUGUAUUUGGGUCACUUCGUAACAAAUAAUAAAGGGGAUCUUGGAAAGAGCCUGUAGUGGGAAGGCGUGAAGUGCUCCGCAGCAGAGCAGGUUGUUCUUGGGACUGCUCGAAAGAUGACGGCUGCAGAAUUUCAAGCCAACGGGGCGCACUGUUAUCUCAGCAAAGGUUAAAGCACUGAAAUAAAGAAGCCUUACUGAAGUAAUGCUUAUGUUCUCUGCAAAAACACGCUCAGGUUUUAGCAGAUGUGAUGAUGUUGAGCCGUCCCGGUUGCCAACACCCCGUGGCUCUCCAGCGUCUUUGAUUAUUUUAUUAUUCCAUACUGCCUGCACGUUGUAGGAGUCGGUGUUAUUUCUCCUAACAGUCCCUGGUUUCCAGCUGGCAAUCCCUCUCUGACAUGCUGUUUUAAACAAGGGGUGAGGAGCAGCCAUGAAGCUGAAGGCCCGCUGUAACCGUCCAGCAGCACUCCAGGGCACUGCCUGCACACGUAGCGUUGCACUUCGCUGUCCCUUUGCGGGCUGCUGCUGUGACAUGCCCAAGGUGUUAGAGGCUGUGCUGUAAGGAAGCGGAGCUCCAGAGACUGCAGAUCCAGAAAGCCUCUAAUUGAAGCCAGUGUCUUUAUGCAAGGCAGUCUGAGAAAAACUUGCGUUACUCAACCCUUCCCACUCCUUGUUGUUCCCGGCAAUGAGAAAAACUGACGCAACGCGUAAGGUAGCCUUCCAAAAGGCAACUGUAUUUAAUAGUGCAUGUACAAAGUGACUGUAUGUUAAUGCUGUACACGGCAGGAAUGUCUGUAAAGAAACCCUGAGCACAAAGGAGGAUGUAAUUUUCAUUUUACACUUAUUGCAACAUUAUUUCUGGUAUUUGUUUGCUAUAUUGACUAAUAAAGGAAUAUGUUCAAAACAGAUGUUAAAAUAAAGCCGGACAUUCUUUCCAUUUGCAGCUUAUUAAAAAACCUAGGAGAAAAGAGUUCUGCCCCAUCAGCUUCAGAAAUAGAUGUUUAACAUGGUGGGGAACAAGCUGAGCCUGAGUUACCCGAGACAGCCAAUUCCUUGAGCAGAAAGAGUGUCUUCUGUCAUCAAAAAGAGCCAUCUGGAAGAAGGCUGGCUCCCCGCCAAAAGCAACUCUUUAACAACAAAGCUUCUUGUGCACUUUAAGUGAUAAUGUUCAUAGCGGCACAACCUGGAGCGUCGGUAAAGGCCCUAUUGGGGGAGCAACGUACUCCUCCUCUCUCAGCAGCCGCAGAAGGAUGUUCUUCUUAUUCUUCGGCCAGUUGUAAAUGUGAGUGUUCUGCAGCCAGGUAGGCACGUGUUCCUGAAAAAAAAAAAUAUAAGAAAAAAAAAAGAGUGAAAUC